GAUGAACGCUGGCGGCGUGCCUAAUACAUGCAAGUCGAGCGAACGGACGAGAAGCUUGCUUCUCUGAUGUUAGCGGCGGACGGGUGAGUAACACGUGGAUAACCUACCUAUAAGACUGGGAUAACUUCGGGAAACCGGAGCUAAUACCGGAUAAUAUUUUGAACCGCAUGGUUCAAAAGUGAAAGACGGUCUUGCUGUCACUUAUAGAUGGAUCCGCGCUGCAUUAGCUAGUUGGUAAGGUAACGGCUUACCAAGGCAACGAUGCAUAGCCGACCUGAGAGGGUGAUCGGCCACACUGGAACUGAGACACGGUCCAGACUCCUACGGGAGGCAGCAGUAGGGUAUCUUCCGCAAUGGGCGAAAGCCUGACGGAGCAACGCCGCGUGAGUGAUGAAGGUCUUCGGAUCGUAAAACUCUGUUAUUAGGGAAGAACAUAUGUGUAAGUAACUGUGCACAUCUUGACGGUACCUAAUCAGAAAGCCACGGCUAACUACGUG
rnacentral:rRNA from 1 species